rnacentral:rRNA from 1 species
GACGAACGCUGGCGGCGCGCUUAACACAUGCAAGUCGAGCGAGAACCAGGUCUUCGGACUUGGGGCAAGCGGCGAACGGGUGAGUAACACGUGGGUAAUCUGCCCUCGGUAUCGGGAUAGCCCGGGGAAACCCGGAUUAAUACCGAAUAGCCUCCGAAGCCCUCGGGCGUCGGAGAAAAGGUGGCUUCGGCUUCCGACUGAGGAUGAGCCCGCGGCGGAUUAGCUUGUUGGCGGGGUAACGGCCCACCAAGGCAACGAUCCGUAGCUGGUCUGAGGGGACGAUCAGCCACACUGGGACUGAGACACGGCCCAGACUCCUACGGGAGGCAGCAGUGGGGAAUCUUGCGCAAUGGGCGAAAGCCUGACGCAGCGACGCCGCGUGCGGGAAGAAGGCCUUCGGGUUGUAAACCGCUUUCAGGAGGGACGAAGCCACUCGGGUUAAUAGCCCAGAGGGUGACGGUACCUCCAGAAGAAGCCCCGGCUAACUACGUGCCAGCAGCCGCAGUAACAC